GUGCUGGCUUCAGCAGCACACACACUAAAAUUGGAAUGACACAGAGAUUAGCACGGUUCCUGCGCAAGGAUGACAUGCAAAUGUGUGAAGCGUUCCAUGUUUAA
ensembl:snRNA U6 U6 spliceosomal RNA